UUUAUGGAGAGUUUGAUCCUGGCUCAGGAUGAACGCUGGCGGCGUGCCUAAUACAUGCAAGUCGAGCGAACGGACGAGAAGCUUGCUUCUCUGAUGUUAGCGGCGGACGGGUGAGUAACACGUGGAUAACCUACCCAUAAGACUGGGAUAACUUCGGGAAACCGGAGCUAAUACCGGAUAAUAUUUUGAACC
rnacentral:rRNA from 1 species